UACGUAGGGUGCGAGCGUUGUCCGGAAUUAUUGGGCGUAAAGAGCUCGUAGGCGGUGUGUCGCGUCGGCCGUGAAAACCUGGGGCUCAACUCUGGGCGUGCGGUCGAUACGGGCAUCACUUGAGUUCGGCAGGGGAGACUGGAAUUCCUGGUGUAGCGGUGAAAUGCGCAGAGAUCCGGAAGAACACCGGUGGCGAAGGCGGCCUGCUGGGUUCUGGCUGACACUGAGGCGCGACAGCGUGGGGAGCAAACAGG
rnacentral:rRNA from 1 species